GCCAAACAGCUAGCCUAACUACUAAAUAACCUUAAUAUAAACAUAAUAAAUUAAAAAACAAAACUUAAAACAUUCUUUUACCUUAGUAUGGGAGACAGAAAAGGUACUAUAAAGCAAUAGAAAUAAUACCGCAAGGGAACGCUGAAAAAGAAAUGAAAUAAUAUAUAUAAGCACAGAAAAGCAAAGACUAAAACUUGUACCUUUUGCAUCAUGAUUUAGCAAGCAAAAUCAAGCAAAGAGACCUUUAGUUUGAAACCCCGAAACCAAGUGAGCUACCCCGAGACAGCCUAUUAAGGGCCAACCCGUCUCUGUGUCAAAAGAGUGGGAAGAACUCCGGGUAGAGGUGACAGACCUACCGAACCUGGUGAUAGCUGGUUGCCUAAAAAAUGGAUAUAAGUUCAGCCUCAUUUACCCCAAAUUAAAAUAUAUAUAAAAUACCGGGCAAUCUAUGAGAGUUAAUUAAAGGGGGUACAGCCCCUUUAAUAAAGGACACAACCUUCUCAGGAGGAUAAAGAUUAUAUUAAAUAAAUAUAAAGUUCUAGUGGGCCUAAAAGCAGCCAUCUAUUUAGAAAGCGUUAAAGCUCAAAUAAAUAUAAAAAUUAUUAUUCCAAUAAAAAAUCUUAUUCCCCUAUAUAUUAUUAGGCUAAUCCAUGCUUACAUGGAAGAAAUUAUGCUAAAAUGAGUAAUAAGAAGGCCAGCCCUUCUCCAAGCACAAGUGUAAGCCAAACCGGACUAACCAUUGGCAAUUAACGAGCUCAGUAAAGAGAGUAAUGUGAAUUAUAAAAAUCAAGAAAAACCCACAACAAUUAGUCGUUAACCCCACACUGGAGUGCAUUAAAGGAAAGACUAAAAGAAAAAAAAGGAACUCGGCAAACACUAAGCCUCGCCUGUUUACCAAAAACAUCGCCUCCUGCAACUCAACCAAGUAUAAGAGGUCCAGCCUGCCCAGUGACUACAAGUUUAACGGCCGCGGUAUUAUGACCGUGCAAAGGUAGCGCAAUCAUUUGUCUUUUAAAUGAAGACCUGUAUGAAUGGCCAAACGAGGGCUUAACUGUCUCUUUUUUCUAGUCAAUGAAAUUGAUCUGCCCGUGCAGAAGCGGACAUAAUAAUACAAGACGAGAAGACCCUUUGGAGCUUAAGGUACAAAACUUUAUUCACGUAAAGCAACUCCUUAAAAAGCAAAAACCUUGUGAAACAUAAAAUUUUACCUUCAGUUGGGGCGACUGCGGAGAAGAAAGAAACCUCCAAGUGGAUUGGAAAUAAACCCUAAAAUUAAGAAAAACACUUCUAAAUCACAGAAUAUCUGACCAAUAAUGACCCGGCCAACUAGCCGAUCAACGAACCAAGUUACCCUAGGGAUAACAGCGCAAUCCUCUCUAAGAGUCCAUAUCGACGAGAGGGUUUACGACCUCGAUGUUGGAUCAGGACAUCCUAAUGGUGCAGCCGCUAUUAAGGGUUCGUUUGUUCAACGAUUAAAGUCCUACGUGAUCUGAGUUCAGACCGGAGCAAUCCAGGUCAGUUUCUAUCUGUAAAGCUACUUUUUUUAGUACGAAAGGACCAAAAAAGAGGGGCCAAUACCUAAAGCACGCCCCACCCUAAAUUUAUGAAAGCAAAUAAAUAAAAUAAGGGAGAGCAAUUUAAGAUCUUAAACUUAACCAAAACAAGGAUA
rnacentral:rRNA from 1 species